GCCGCGGGCGGAGGAGCGCGGGUGCUCCGGGCCAGAGGCCCCAGGCGCGCCCUGCGUGGUCACUUGCCCUCUUUUCCCCACUUGCUUGCGGUGGGGGCUGGGUGGCCCGGGUCCUCCCCUCCUCUCCUGGCGCCGGCUCGUCUUGGUGGGGGCGGGGAACUCCGCUCUGGAAGCUGAGGGGGGUGCUCAUGGAGGGGGCUGAAGGUUGGGUAGCGGACGGAGGGCCGGGGGCGCGUGGAGACCCCUACCCGGGCCGGGGCCCUCCGAAGAAAAGGGAGAGAUGCUUGGCUCCCCGCUCCGCCCGGUGCGAAUGGAAAGGAGAGCAGAUUCAGCCCGAAGCCCAGCGGAGAGGCAGCGGGCCGCAAGGGAUGGGGAUCCGGGCGAGGGUCGUGCUCCCUCCUCCCGCGCGCCGGCUGGGAGCCCGAAUUCGGGAGGAAGCAUUGGCGCGGGGCUCACGAGCGCACCAACUAACGACCAUUCUGCCUCGUGUCCCCCAGCCCCUCCCCGAAGGCGCGGAGAGUCGGCCUGGGGUGGGGGUGGGGGGACAGAUUAGAUUUCGCUCCGCUCUCAUCAAUUUUCUGUUUAAUGUCACCCGGCCCCAUUGUGGGAGAGGAAAGCACGUCACCCAGGCCAUAAAUUGCGAUUAUGGGGCCUCCGGCCGCCUCCGCGUUCUAGGGACCCGGCGGACUCCGGCGAGCAGGUCGGACACCGGCCGCCCGAACCGGAGCCGGAGUCGCCUUGGAGCCGCCGAGCGACAGAGCUGGAUGGCGGUCCUUGGGGAGCGAGGAGCCCUGGAUUUGCAGCUGCUCUCAGGGAAAGUGGGGGCAAGUGCCGGGAGGGGCCCCACAGCUGGGCUAGGUUCUGGGGUGAGAGGGGCCCCCAGGCUGUGUGAGGGAAGACAGGUUCUCCAGAGCACUGGUGCCAGUGUGUGCUGUGAACGUAUCGGUGUGUGGGUGUGUGAUGUGCUGUAUAAUGCUCAAGCGUGUGCCCGUGAUGUGUUUGUGUUACAUGUGUGCACACAUACAUGUGUGUGGAUGGGUGAUAUGCAACGGUGCAUGCCCAGGUGUCAGGGCACAGCUGGCUGCAUGGGGCCAUAG
rnacentral:lncRNA from 1 species